rnacentral:rRNA from 1 species
GUGGGCCUACGGGGUGCAGCAGUAGGGAAUCUUCCACAAUGGACGAAAGUCUGAUGGAGCAACGCCGCGUGAGUGAAGAAGGGUUUCGGCUCGUAAAGCUCUGUUGGUAGUGAAGAAAGAUAGAGGUAGUAACUGGCCUUUAUUUGACGGUAAUUACUUAGAAAGUCACGGCUAACUACGUGCCAGCAGCCGCGGGAAUACGUAGGUGGCAAGCGUUGUCCGGAUUUAUUGGG